UCAUAAAUACUCAAUAAAGGGCUGGAUGGAGGGCUUUGCAGUAGUGGAGCUCAAGAAGGAGUUCGGGCUCAUCUGGGAUCUAGAACUCUCCUGGGAGGAUGUUUCACUGAACUGCAAUGACCUGCCCCAGCUCAGCCUUACCGAGCAGGUCGGGUAUCUUCGACUGACUUCUGUUGAAAGGAAGUAUGACGUCGAGAAAUGUAUGUUUGUGUCUAAUCUUCGUGAUAUUAGAGACGUGGGUACUUUACUAUACUUAGCUGUGUCUUUCUGCCUUUGU
rnacentral:lncRNA from 1 species